rnacentral:rRNA from 1 species
AUUGAACGCUGGCGGCAUGCCUUACACAUGCAAGUCGAACGGCAGCACGGGUGCUUGCACCUGGUGGCGAGUGGCGAACGGGUGAGUAAUACAUCGGAACGUACCUUAUCGUGGGGGAUAACGCAGCGAAAGUUGCGCUAAUACCGCAUACGCCCUUAGGGUGAAAGCGGGGGACCGUAAGGCCUCGCGCGAUUACAGCGGCCGAUGUCUGAUUAGCUUGUUGGUGAGGUAAAAGCUCACCAAGGCGAUGAUCAGUAGCUGGUCUGAGAGGACGAUCAGCCACACUGGGACUGAGACACGGCCCAGACUCCUACGGGAGGCAGCAGUGGGGAAUUUUGGACAAUGGGGGCAACCCUGAUCCAGCAAUGCCGCGUGAGUGAAGAAGGCCUUCGGGUUGUAAAGCUCUUUUGUCAGGGAAGAAACAGCAGCUCUAACACAGUCUGCGAAUGACGGUACCUGAAGAAUAAGCACCGGCUAACUAAGUGCCAGCCGCCGCAGUAA